rnacentral:sRNA from 1 species
AAUUGCUUUGAUGAGAUAAUUUAAAAGGAGAAGUCUUGAAGAAACUUAGUAAUCACAACACCCUAAUGAUCCGAAAUGUUGUUGCAACACUUGGGAAUGAUAGGCAUCGAUUGGUCAUUGUUGACUAUCUCACAAUACUGUAUAGCUCUUCAUUAUGCAUGCUUGUUGGUCAAUGGUCAAGCCAUGUUGAAUCCACCAUUCUCAUGAGUUCCAUAACCUCUUGGUUUCUCUGAAGUAAAGAGAGACAACUUCCAUUGUUAAUAAAAUACAUGGUACACUGAAAAAUAUUCUGCAUUGGCAGACUAAUUUACUGGUGAAAAAUUUUAUGGAUAAAAUAAAUCAGAAUCUUUGCUUUUUUAUACAAAGAAAAUAUUUAAUACCAUUCAAAUGAACAUGGAAAUAACAAAUAAUGACAUCUAGUUCCAGGAAUAAAGUUAUAUGAAUUAAAGCCAUAUAACGGAAUCAU